GACGAACGCUGGCGGCGUGCCUAAUACAUGCAAGUUGAGCGCUGAAGGUUGGUACUUGUACCAACUGGAUGAGCAGCGAACGGGUGAGUAACGCGUGGGGAAUCUGCCUUUGAGCGGGGGACAACAUUUGGAAACGAAUGCUAAUACCGCAUAAAAACUUUAAACACAAGUUUUAAGUUUGAAAGAUGCAAUUGCAUCACUCAAAGAUGAUCCCGCGUUGUAUUAGCUAGUUGGUGAGGUAAAGGCUCACCAAGGCGAUGAUACAUAGCCGACCUGAGAGGGUGAUCGGCCACAAUGGGACUGAGACACGGCCCAAACUCCUACGGGAGGCAGCAGUAGGGAAGCUUCGGCAAUGGACGAAAGUCUGACCGAGCAACGCCGCGUGAGGGAAGAAGGUUUUCGGAUCGUAAAACUCUGUUGGUAGAGAAGAACGGUGGUGAGAGUGGAAAGCUCAUCAAGUGACGGUAACUACCCAGAAAGGGACGGCUAACUACGUG
rnacentral:rRNA from 1 species